GCCCUAUAACAGCAUCACUAUGGAUGUUUGGACUAUCAUAUGCCAGUAUUACGAGGAUCUGAGAUAUCAAAGUCGAUGUGCCUAGAAUAUCGCGAAUCGAGCGAGACAGACCGUGUCACAUUAUGGGGGUUCGAGAUCAUUCGCUCAUCACAUGGAGUAUAUGAGAGAUAUGAGAGUGGUGAGCCUCCUAGUAGGAUCGA